rnacentral:rRNA from 1 species
GAGUGAAGCGGCAACAGCUCAGAUUUGGAAUCUGGCCCCCCCCGGGGGGUCCGAGUUGUAAUCUGGAGAGGAUGCUUCUGGCGCGGCGCCCGGCGAGUUCCCUGGAACGGGACGCCAGAGAGGGUGAGAGCCCCGUACGGCGGGACGCCGCGCCUCUGCGAAGCUCCUUCGACGAGUCGAGUAGUUUGGGAAUGCUGCUCCAAACGGGAGGUAAAUUUCUCCUAAAGCUAAAUACCGGCCGGAGACCGAUAGCGCACAAGUAGAGUGAUCGAAAGAUGAAAAGCACUUUGAAAAGAGGGUCAAACAGUACGUGAAAUUGUUGAAAGGGAAGCGCCCGUGGCCAGACUCGCGCCCCGCGGACCACCCGGCGGACUCCGCCGGGGCACGCCGCGGGGCGCGGGCCAGCAUCGGCCCCCGCAGGGGGACAAGGGCGGCGGGAACGUGGCUCCUCUGGGAGUGUUACAGCCCGCCGCGCCAUGCCCCUGGGGGGGCCGAGGACCGCGCUUCGGCAAGGAUGCUGGCGUAAUGGCCACCGGCGACCCGUCUUGAAACACGGACCAAGGAGUCAAGCAUUGGGGCGAGUGUCCGGGUGGCAAACCCGCACGCGCAAUGAAAGUGAACGUAGGUGGGAGCUUCGGCGCACCACCGACCGAUCCUGAUGUCCUCGGAUGGAUUUGAGUAAGAGCCCCACCGCUUGGACCCGAAAGAUGGUGAACUAUGCCUGAAUAGGGUGAAGCCAGAGGAAACUCUGGUGGAGGCUCGCAGCGG